UACAGAGGGUGCAAGCGUUUGUUCGGAAUUAUUGGGCGUAAAGCGCGUGUAGGCGGCUUUGCAAGUCGGGUGUGAAAGCCCUCGGCUCAACCGAGGAAGUGCGCCCGAAACUGCAGAGCUUGAGUACCGGAGAGGAUGGCGGAAUUCCCCAAGUAGAGGUGAAAUUCGUAGAUAUUGGGAGGAACACCAGUGGCGAAGGCGGCUCACUGGACUGGUACUGACGCUGAGGCGCGAAAAGCUAGGGUAGCAAACGGG
rnacentral:rRNA from 1 species